CUUAUCGCUGAUACAGCACGGCGCAGCAUCACCGCGCUCCCUGCACUCUACUGUACUGACACAGAAGAUAGUAAAAGGGCAGAAGAAGAAGUGAGGUAGCCAUGAAGCUAUUCUCUCCUUCAAACUCCUUUCCUUCUCUUCUAUCUCCUACUCUUCCCGUCAAAUUCAGCUCCAUCUCUUUCUCCUCUUUUUACUUCUCUCCUCCGCCA
rnacentral:misc_RNA from 1 species